rnacentral:lncRNA from 1 species
AUACCGUGAAACCCACAAAUUCGUCGAACUUCAUCAUAUGUUCAUCGACCAUCAGCCCAACCAACAUUUCAAUUCGUUUACUCAAUCAGGUUGCCCCGACUCAUGGAUCUGAAGCCCUCGCUAUUGUUCUCGUCAUCGAUUGAAACGCAUCGGUUCUUCGAUUAGGUUUCUCUCAUUCACGCAUCUGAAGCCUAUUAUCGCUCACUGAAACACAUUCUCACUCCGAUUGCUCAGAUCCAAGCUAUUCAAUUUGGUUCCCUUGAAAAUUUUGCAUCUAGAUUUUUAGUUUUUUAUUUUAUUUAAUUUGUGAGUUUUGCUAUAAUUUUUGAAAAUUUCAGGUUGUUAAAAAGAAUGAGUUGUUGAUUCUGUUUUUGAUGUUGACGUGCUCGCUGAUUUCCUUCACUACUUUCAGGUUAUGCUCGCUUGUUGAAUUGAUUUUUAUUUCAUUUGUGAUUUUUGCUAUAAUUUUGAAUAGAUUGUUGAUGUUACUAUUUUUAUUUCAUUUUUGUUCCAAUUUGAUUUGUAAUGAAGAAAAGAGAUACAUUUAAUUUGCUGUUGAUGUGAGCGUUAACCCCUUUUUCCCCUUUUUAAUUUGUUGCUAAAGAAUUAGGGUUUUUGAAGCUUCAGUUGGAUGUCAAAACUGUUUUGGAGUAUGCGGUGUCGAGGGAGAUGAAAUUGUUGAGAUUCCUGGUCGAUUUAGGGCUUUGGAAUGAGCAGUUUCUGAUUUGGGUGAGUAGUUGCUGGUAAGAGGGAAUGAAGUCCUUUUGCUACUGAACAUCGAUAGUUCGUUCAUGGAUGUCUUUCAAUUGCAUGUAUGCUACUUGAACUUCUAAUUAUCUUUUGAUGUCAACUGAUGAUAAUAGUGUAAAGU